AUGAUUCUGUUGUGUCCACACAGAGCAAUGGACCAUGCUGUACCUGCUUGUCGGGACUGUUUUGCACAAACACCAAGAUUGAUAAUGUGCCCCUAAGGGGAACCGGCUGUACAGCCGGGUUCUUCAAGGAAACAUCAAAGGGCCAAGACUGGCCAUCUUCUGAGCUCCAGGGCUCAGGGGCAGCUGGCACGCCUACUCCCUAAAGUAUGUGUUCUACCGUCAAAAUGAGGAUCUGUUUGUCCUCUUCAUAUUCUUCAGUGAGCCCAGAGUCUCCUGCAGUCCUUUGAUCUUAGAGGAGCAAAGCGUAAAAUAACAAGUGACAACCUGAGGACAAGAAGAGGUCUGCCUUGGCAAUCGUUUUUCCCUUUGGUGCUGAGCUCAAAGCACGUCCAAGCCUGCCACAAUCAUCUUGGUUACUCAUGUCUGUGCUAUUUACAGAACGCUAAAACAAUGAAUGAAACAAGUGACCUCAAUGUUGAAGAUGAUUAGAGAACCUGUACGGGGAUUGUAGAGUGAAUGUGUUGGAUUGUCAGAGUGAACCCACUGACAUUAGAUUCAUAUGUUUGUUUUAAUUUUUUGAAACAGGUCUCUCUGUAUAACCUUGGCUGUUCUGGAACUUGUCUGUAGACCAAGGUAGCCUUGAACUCAGAGAUCUGUCUGCCUCUACCUCCCGAGUGCUUUGAUCAAAGGUGUGAGCCAGCAUGCCCAGUUAUAAUUCUAUGAACAUUUGCUAAACUGAAGAAUGAUCCUUGAAAUAAAGGCAUUCAUACCCAUUGCCGUAUUUUAUCCACUUCCAUUUCUUACCUGAAGAUUUCUUUCUCUACACAGAGGAAUGGUGCUGUACCAUUUUGCAGAAAGGGGAGGGACUUAUCCAAAGGUACACAUUAGCUCCCGGGUGGAGGCAAGCCUGGGAAUUCUGGGAUUUACUCAGCCACCCUAAGGUAGGUCACCACAGGGCUAGAGAGAUGGCUCAGUGGUUAAGAACAUGUACUGCUCUCCAACUGAACCUGAGUUCAAUUCCCAGCACCCACAUUUUGGUUCCCAGCACCCAUGGUGGUUCACUAACACUUGUAAAAACAGCUCUAAGAGAUUGGAUGCAUUUGGCAUCUGCAUUUAUAUGUACACACACACACACACACACACACACACACACACCAUCACUACACAGGCCUUCAUUCUGAAUUCUGAACUAGGGGCAGUAGGAUUGAAAUUCCUUUAAAAUUGUUUAUAGAACUGGAAAGAUGGUAAAAAGAACUUGCCACACAGCCUGCCAACUAACCUGAGUUCAGUCCUUGGAUCUCACUAUGGACUGAAGCAAACUGACUCCUGCAAAUUGUCUUCUUAUUGGCACUCACUCACUAUGGCCCUCCCCCAAUGAUAAUAAAUAUAAAGUAAAAUAAAAU
rnacentral:lncRNA from 1 species